CCUACGGGUGGCAGCAGUCGAGAAUCAUUCACAAUGGGGGAAACCCUGAUGGUGCGACGCCGCGUGGGGGAAUGAAGGUCUUCGGAUUGUAAACCCCUGUUAUGUGGGAGCAAAUUAAAAAGAUAGUACCACAAGAGGAAGAGACGGCUAACUCUGUGCCAGCAGCCGCGGUAAUACAGAGGUCUCAAGCGUUGUUCGGAAUCACUGGGCGUAAAGGGUGCGUAGGCUGUUUCGUAAAUCGUGUGUGAAAGGCGCGGGCUCAACCCGCGGACGGCACAUGAUACUGGGGGACUAGAGUAAUGGAGAGGGAGCCGGAAUUCUCGGUGUAGCAGUGAAAUGCGUAGAUAUCGAGAAGAACACUCAUGGCGAAGGCAGGUUCCUGGACAUUAACUGACGCUGAGGCACGAAGGCCAGGGGAGCGAAAGGGAUUAGAUACCCUAGUAGUC
rnacentral:rRNA from 1 species